rnacentral:rRNA from 1 species
GAUGAACGCUGGCGGCGUGCCUAAUACAUGCAAGUCGAGCGAACGGACGAGAAGCUUGCUUUUCUGAUGUUAGCGGCGGACGGGUGAGUAACACGUGGAUAACCUACCUAUAAGACUGGGAUAACUUCGGGAAACCGGAGCUAAUACCGGAUAAUAUUUUGAACCGCAUGGUUCAAAAGUGAAAGACGGUCUUGCUGUCACUUAUAGAUGGAUCCGCGCUGCAUUAGCUAGUUGGUAAGGUAACGGCUUACCAAGGCAACGAUGCAUAGCCGACCUGAGAGGGUGAUCGGCCACACUGGAACGGAGACACGGUCCAGACUCCUACGGGAGGCAGCAGUAGGGAAUCUUCCGCAAUGGGCGAAAGCCUGACGGAGCAACGCCGCGUGAGUGAUGAAGGUCUUCGGAUCGUAAAACUCUGUUAUUAGGGAAGAACAGAUGUGUAAGUAACUGUGCACAUCUUGACGGUACCUAAUCAGAAAGCCACGGCUAACUACGUG